UGGUCCCCGGGCGGCGAGCGGCACCGGCACCGGCACCUCCGUGCUUGGGAACGCUUCUCACCCAGCCCCAGAGCCUCCGAAAUCAUGCUCCAUCAACGCACACAUUCACUGCAACACAGACCUUCUACCGAAUGCAGGAGGUGGGGCCUUCUCAGGCCGUCGCGGGCAGGAGCGAAAAGGUUCUUGAUGGAGUGCUGACAGAGGGCUUCAGGCGUGGGGCUGCAGAAUGUCGGCAGGGAUGCAGAGUAAUCCUCUUGCCGAAAUAGGUUCUUUCACCCGGUGUGCUAGAGGCCAAUACACACACAGAGUCGAGGCUUGAAAGUAUACAAAGAUCAAACAUCAGAGAACACACUUUCUUCAGAAAUAUUUACAUAUUCUACAUUUUGCAACAAUCCCACAUUAGCUGUAAGUGCUAUGUACAGACAUCCUCACAAGUGCUGAAAAGGAACACAGCCAAGGAGAACAAAAAUUCUGAAGUACCAACUGAGGGAAUGUACAAACUGAGGCCGGAACAACCAUUAGAUUGUUGAAACUCAAUUAUUUUUUGUUAUUUACCCAAUAAAUUUUGCCCAAUUACAUCACUA